rnacentral:rRNA from 1 species
GUGGGGAAUUUUGGACAAUGGGGGCAACCCUGAUCCAGCCAUGCCGCGUGCGGGAAGAAGGCCUUCGGGUUGUAAACCGCUUUUGUCAGGGAAGAAAUCCUUUGGGUUAAUACCUCGGAGGGAUGACGGUACCUGAAGAAUAAGCACCGGCUAACUACGUGCCAGCAGCCGCGGUAAUACGUAGGGUGCGAGCGUUAAUCGGAAUUACUGGGCGUAAAGCGUGCGCAGGCGGUUUUGUAAGAUCGAUGUGAAAUCCCCGGGCUCAACCUGGGAACUGCAUUGGUGACUGCAAGGCUGGAGUGCGGCAGAGUGGGAUGGAAUUCCGCGUGUAGCAGUGAAAUGCGUAGAUAUGCGGAGGAACACCGAUGGCGAAGGCAAUCCCCUGGGCCUGCACUGACGCUCAUGCACGAAAGCGUGGGGAGCAAACAGGAUUAGAUACCCGAGUAGUCC